rnacentral:rRNA from 1 species
AUUGAACGCUGGCGGCAGGCCUAACACAUGCAAGUCGAACGAGUGGCGGACGGGUGAGUAAUGUCUGGGAAACUGCCUGAUGGAGGGGGAUAACUACUGGAAACGGUAGCUAAUACCGCAUACCAUCAGAUGUGCCCAGAUGGGCGUAGCUUGUUGGUGGGGUAACGGCUCACCAAGGCUACGAUCCCUCGCUGGUCUGAGAGGAUGACCAGCCACACUGGAACUGCGACACGGUCCAGACUCCUACGUGAGGCAGGAGUGGGGAAUAUUGCACAAUGUGCGCAAGCCUGAUGCAGACAUGCCGCGGGUAUGAAGAAGGCCUUCGGUUGGUAAAGUACUUUCAGCGGGGAGGCGUUACCCGCAGAAGAAGAACCGGCUAACUCCGUGCCAGCAGCCGCGGUAAUUC